AAAUGUAGUUUGUGGUAGUGAGUGGAAGGUUUGGGGCUUUUAUGGGAGUUUGUUUUGGUUUUGUUUUGCUUUGCUUGUGAGUUUUUUUGCUUGCUUUCCUGGGAGGUGGGGGCAGUCCAAGCCCUGGAGAGGAGGUUUUCUGUAACAAGUGAGAACAACAAGAAUUAGCUCUCUCAGCACUUCAACAAGCAGAGAUUUUUGUCUGUAAUGAGAAGAAUGAGACUUGUUUGACAUAAACUACAAAACAACACAGCAAAGAUGAAGAAGGAGGGCAGAAAUACAUUACUGAAGGAAAGAGAUGUGCAUGAUUUCCUCUCUAGGAAAGGAUGUGUGGGAACAUUCCAGGGCAUUUCAGGACUGACCUAUGCAGCAUUUGGAAGCACUCAGUGUUUCUGUGACAUCACUUCCUAGUCCAUUUGAAAUCAAGGCCAGGCUGAUGGGGUGCUGGGUCCUGGGCUGUGGUCAAGAUGGGACACAGCAAUGAGCUGCAAAGAUCCAAGAGGUGUAACAACAGGUGCCAAUAUUGAGAGGAAGUCAAGCUGACAAAUCUCAGGAAGUGUAAAGGCUUCUCUGGCAUUGUCCCUCAGGGAAACUGGUAAAUUGGUCCUCUUUCUUUGAAUCUUUAAACUCUUUAGUAAUAUUAAAAUCAAAUGGGACAGAUGCAAGAGAAAUAAGGCUCCUUUCCAGCUAAGAGAAUAAAAAUUUGGAGCAUGGGCUGUCCAUCCUCCUGGACAUUCUAGAAGAUUAAGCUGAAGCUCCUAAAAGCCAGCUUUCAUCAACCUUAAGACAAACCUCCUAGAAACUUCUAGCAGCUGAUUGCUCUCAUGGCUGCUCCUUCCACACUUGACUUUUGUGACAGGUUCCUGAUUUCAGCACUAGAGGGGUGAGGGUGACUGCUCUUCUCUUUCUGCUUUCUGUGAUUUACACUCUUCCCAUUAUGAGUGGUUAAUUACAUUAAAAGCAUUGUAAAACUUUGCAUAUGCACAUCUGUGGAAUAAAUCCCCUGCUUCUCCCUAGUAAAAAUGCAGCACAGACUUUUGUAGUGAAAAUUCUCAUGUUGUAGGUACUUUGGUAUGAUUAUUCUAAUAUUAGAAGGUCAUUUUUAUAAGCAUAAGGAGAAAAAGAUAUGAAGGUAUCCCCCUGUUAUAUCUGAAGUCUUUUAUUUAAUAGGUUAAAUGCAGUUGUUCAUUGUGAAAUUAUCCAGGGAAGCUAUUUCCUGUUCUUGCUUUCAUUUUUCAGGUUUAAAUAUGUAUAGCUUUUCAUGGUUUAAAAAAAAAAUAAUUUUUGUCUCCUGCUUUUGAAUUGCAGUUGAAGAAGCCCAUAAUUUGAACCAAGACCAAGAAAUUUAUUAUGCCAAUAGCUUUUCUUUUCCUUUUAAUUUUUUUUAAAUGCAACCUUCUGAAUACAUUAUAGUUUUGCUGUCUACUGGGAAACUGUAUUUCUGUGAA